GGGCUUAUAGUUUAAUUGGUUGAAAUGUACAGCUCAUAACGGUGAUAUGGUAGGUUCGAGCCCUACUAAGCCUA
rnacentral:tRNA from 1 species